rnacentral:rRNA from 1 species
GUGCCAGCCGCCGCGGUAAUACGUAGGUGGCAAGCGUUAUCCGGAAUUAUUGGGCGUAAAGCGCGCGUAGGCGGUAAAAUAAGUCUGAUGUGAAAGCCCCCGGCUCAACCGGGGAGGGUCAUUGGAAACUGUUUUACUUGAGUACAGAAGAGGAGAGUGGAAUUCCAUGUGUAGCGGUGAAAUGCGCAGAGAUAUGGAGGAACACCAGUGGCGAAGGCGGCCCUCUGGUCUGUUACUGACGCUGAGGUGCGAAAGCGUGGGGAUCAAACAGGAUUAGAAACCCGCGUAGUC